rnacentral:lncRNA from 1 species
ACUACUGGGGGAACAGUGACAGAGGAGGGGGUAGAGAGGAAGGUCUCCGGAGAAAGUCUUACUGGGGUCAGAGACCAUGCCGGCUCCACAAUGACCGGUGGGAAAGGGAGGGUGCAGUGUAGACAGAGAAAGUGGCAACAGGAACCACAGGGGGAGCAGCAGCCAUCCCAGACCUUGGGGCUCUUGCAUUUAUAUCCUCUUCAGGGUCCCCAGACUUCCAAACAAACUAUCUGCAGGUGGCAAGGACCACACCCCUCCUAGAGCACAAGGCAGUCAGAGUUAGUGGCUGUGGAUAACCUAAAACAGCCCCAUAUCCCACACUCAGGAUUAAAACAAUAACAUAUGCACUUAACAUAACUAGGUUUUUAAAGAAACCAAAAUUCUCACUACAAGGAGGGGCAUACCCUAUGUACAAAGUCCUGAGACAGAAAUUACCCCAAAGGUCAGUGGUGUGGGAGCCCCGGAGCAAGGGUCCUGGGAAAGGGGAGUCCAGAGCUGAGAGGGGAAGGCUUUGUUGACCUCGUUGGCCAUGCCAUGCAGUUUAAGCGUUGCCAUUUUUCAGCAAGAUUCCUCUGGGUGCAGCUUGGAGGCGAUGUCCAGGCCCCUGGUGGUGCAAUUGGCUGCCGAUAGAGGUUGUUACUUUGACUCAGGUGAAAGAUGAGCAUUCAGGAGUUUGGGGCUCAGGGAUGGAGAGGAGGGAAAAUUGAGGAGCAACAUAACAGUAUUCAACAGCAUGGUGGAAGCUGUCAAGAACAGUUUCUGGGCCUCACAAGAGGCUUCUGUAAAAGGACCAAACGGGUAGCAUAUGGCCCCUAGUUAAAGUAUCCAGGUUGACAAGUUCCACUGACCUGAGCAACUGUGACCACAGUUAAGACCGCCAGUGUUUCUGUCACCCACAGGUGCACACAUGCAUAGAGGUGUACACACCUAAGACAUGUGCACCAGGUACCCUUGAUGGGCUUCUCAGUCCAGCACACAGUGAAAACACUUUUGAAGGCACAGUGAGCUACGUGUCCCCCAAAUCUUACAGGAAGUGGUGACUGCCUCAAAUUCAAAGCUAGGCACGGUGGCACACACCUUCGAUCCCAACACUCAGGAGGCAAGAGGAUCUAUACAAGUUUGAGGCCAGCCUGGUUUACAUGAUCAAUUCCAGGCCAACCAAGGGCUACAGUAGUGUGAGACCCUGACUCAAAACAAACAACAAAAGAAACAAAGAGAAAGAAAAGCUCUGAGCUCUGUGCUGUGUGGCAGAGGCAGAAUCUUGUCUGAAAGAUGAGAGGCGUAACUGAGGACACGGGGACAGAUCUCCUGUGGGGGGAAAACAUCAGUGGACAUGAGCAGCAAGUAGACAGUGGGAGGGAGGCGAGGUGGAGGGGCUUGGCUUUUGUUUUUUGAUUACUGAGAUAAUUUGACCACAUAUAUUGGCCAACAGAGAGACUCUGAACAAGCAGUAGAAAUUCAAG